rnacentral:lncRNA from 1 species
AAACACAUUAACUUAACUGUAUUCAAAUGAAUAACAUUAAAACGUGGAGGGAGGAUGGUUGAUAUCAAAACUGAGUUACCUUCAACACAUUUUUUAGACUAUCUACCCUCAAGCUAAUAAAGACAAAAGAAAAAAAAUAUCUUCUAGAAGCACUCACAAUAAAUUUAAAUCCAAGUCAAUGGCUUCUUUUGUGACAAAUCAUGAAUAAGCAGUUCUAAAAAUCACUUUUUAUACUUCGUAGGACUGAACACAUAAAAAUUUUAUGAAAAUGGGGAGACAGGAUUCUCACUCAGAGAAGGCAGAAACAGAUACAGAAAUUAAGAAGACAGAAUGAGGCCUGUAGAUUUGCACUGGGCUUGGUAACAUCUGUUUCUGUACUCAAAAAAUGUACAGAAGCAAUGACUCCCUAGUAGCAGUAACCCCAUCUAAUACCAACCUUUUGCUUUCUAAAUACCACUUUUCUUUUAAAGGAACCAGGAAUCCUUGGGGGGAAAAUGGCUUAUUUCAGGACUGGGAUGGGGAAAAUACAAGGUAAUCCUGGAAUAAUUCUGAGCCAAAAUGUAAAGAACUGCAUAAAGAAUGACAGAUGACUGUCGAAAGGGCCCAGAGCCAACUCGAACAAGCUCUUACUAGCAUUACAACUUCAAUAUCCAAGUGAAUAAUUAUAGUAAGAGAUUGUAUUCAAUAAAGUAGGAUUCUAAAGUUUGUAUUGCUACAAAUUAAUGAAUACAUAGCUAGGGAGAAAUUGCUUCCUUUCAGUAACGUGUUAACAAAAAGAUACAAGAAUGACUGAUAGCAUUUGAAAUCACUAUUUGCCAACCACCAAUAUAGUGACUUAGUCAAUCAACAAUCAUCAAAGGAUGCUAAUAAUUGGUCCAUCAAGUGUAACAAAAUAUUUGUAAUACUUAGGCAUAUCUUCUCACAGGAUACUUAAUAAUCUCAAAAUAUAAAAUAGUAACUAUAACAGAGGAGAAAUCUGACAGGAAUCAUGUUUACCAAAUGAUCAAAUUAAUAUUGCCAGUAAUGAGACAAACCAAUAGUGAGUGCCCUCGGGUAUAAUAUGCUGAGAACUCAGCAUCAAUUUUAGGAUAUUUCUACUCAAAGUACAUAUCCUGAAGGUACAACGAAAAACAAGAGACAAAUAAAAUUGAGGAAUCUAGUCUUUGAAACUGUUGAUGUUGUAAAAUACAAAAAAAAAAUCAUAAAUUCUUCCAAAUUAAAGAAGACUAAAACGAUAUAACAACCGAACCUAAGACAUGAUUUUGGGUUUUCUUUUGCUCAAAGGUCAUUAACAUAGACAUUGGUGAGAUCAUAAUAAAAUCUUGCAUCAAUAUUAAUUUCCUUUUUUGAAAACUGCACCAUGGUUAUAUUCUUGGGAAAUAAAUACUAAAAUGUUGAUGGCAAAGGGACACCAUGUCUGCAACUUACUUUUGAAUGGUUCAGAGAACAAUCUUCUGUCUUUCACCUAGAAAAAAAUGAUAAAGAAAUACGUUAAGACAUUAACUUUUGGGGGAAUAUAGGUUACAGUUAUCCAGGAAUUCUAUGCAUUAUUCAUGCAACAUUUUUGUAAAUCAAAAAGUAUUUUGAAAAAAAUCAAAUGAUGAAGUAAUGCAGUUCAUAAAUAUUUCUUUUCUCAGGACCAUACUAGUUCCAUUUCUACCAGUAACUAUCUACAUUUCUUCAAAAUUUGUUUUUCUUUAUUUUCUUCCAUUCUUGAUUUUGUUUAGUAGAAGAUGCCAAUUAAUAUUGCCAACUAACUACUACUAAUAGUAGUUGGCAAUAAAAUGGUAAACAUUAUUUACAGUAAAAAGAAUGACAGAAUACUUAAUCCCAACAUUUAAAAAAAUUAGGAGUGAUGCAGUUAUAAACAAUUUAAAGAAAUUCAUAUCUAAGAUGGUAAAAUACUUUUGCUCACAUUUGCUAUUAUAGAAAGUUUAUACUAUAAGGGAUCCAUUCCAUUUUACACAAAAGAAAUCUAAAUUCUCAAUAAGCUGGUGUUCAAAUUCAUACAACUGUGGAAUGGCAGAGUGGGAAACAAAACCCAUAUUUCUUGACUGCACUGGUAUAGUAACUAGGACUUGGCACUUUCCUUGUUAUUGACUGAGGGAAUUUCCUCUUGAGGGAGUGUGGUUUCAUGGUUUAAAGAACACAAAGAACACACAAGGGAAUGAGACUUGUGUUCUAGAACCAGCUCUGUUGCUUACAAACUAUGUGACUCUGAAGAAAUCUCUUCUGGCUCUAAUUCUGAGUUUGAAGAUAUUUUCCCCACCUUGUAUUUAUUAAAACAAAAAAUGAUUAAAAAUUAACAUUAAAGCAAAACUUUUAAAAUAAAACCAUCCAAAUCUAUCCCAUAAAUACAGCUAAGACAAAUGCUCUGUUUUCCAAAAUCAAUUCGUAGUUGACAAAUUUGCAGAUACACAAAUAAUGCUAAUAGGAAAGUAAAUUAAUAUACACUUUCUGAAGGAUAAUAUAAAACAUGCCUUUAAAGCUAUUGUUGGUUGUAUACAACUUCUCUAACAAGCUCCCCAAAAGAAACGCUCCAUAAGAAAAUAAUCAAAUAAGUAUUACACUUUAUAAGGAUACUCCAUCUUAAACCUAUGUAAAUAAAAAAGAAACAAAAUCCAAUAAUAGUAAAUUAUACUACAUCUAUAAACUGUAAUAAAAUAAAAUAUAAACAUUAAAAUAAAAUAUUUCCCAAACUUGUAUUAAGAAAUGUGAGUCAUGGAGUUCCCGUCGUGGCGCAGUGGUUAACGAAUCCGACUAGGAGCCAUGAGGUUGCGGGUUCGGUCCCUGCCCUUGCUCAGUGGGUUAACGAUCCGGCGUUGCCGUGAGCUGCGGUGUAGGUUGCAGACGCGGCUCGGAUCCCGCGUUGCUGUGGCUCUGGUGUAGGCCGGUGGCUACAGCUCCGAUUCAACCCCUAGCCUGGGAAUCUCCAUGUGCCGCCGGAGCGGCCCAAGAAAUAGCAACAAUAACAACAACAACAACAACAAAAAGACAAAAGACAAAAGACAAAAAAAAAAAAAAAAAAAAAAAAAAAAGAAAUGUGAGUCCCUGGAAUGCAUUCUAUUAAAGAAUAAAUAUUUAGAACUUGUAGAAUUAUAUAAAGUUAGAUGUCACUAAUUCUAAUAUAUGUUAAUAUUCUAACACCCACUGUUUCACCACACAGAAGAAUGAAAGAGGCAUUGUAUAGAAUGCUUCAAAGUUAAUUAAUAUAAAUUAAUAAUUUAACAUUUGAUGGAACAAGGGUUAGCAGAAUAAUGCGUGAUUAAUACUGGAUAUUAAUGUUGUAGCAAAUAUGCAAAAUAUAUGGAUAAUUAAAACAUAUCAAAAGAUGGUAUAGAUUAUACAUAAAACUAUAUGGAUGUCUGUGUGUGUAAAGUAUAUAUGUCAAAAAAUUGACAAUCUUGGGUUGAGAAAUGAGAAGUAAAUAAUAUUUUUUCUCAUUUUUAAUUUAAAAAUUUUCUACAACAUAAAAAAUUACUAACUUUACUCAAAAUAUUUCUGUUAUGGUACCAAUGUUCCAAAGUUGGUAUGUGUACCUUUCUGCCUUCUAGUUCUUUACUCUUCCAUCCAAAAUUUGUUUUUUUUUAAAGACUCCACAUCCUAAAAUCAACCACUUAGUAUUAUUUUGGACCCAAACUGAAAAAGUUCUGUUGGUGUUUCUUCCUUCAUAACAUCCUUUUCUGUUUCUACAGUGGCACCUACACAUCUGGGUGAUUUCAUCUCACUUCCCCAGCUUCCACAUAGGUAGUCUCACCUCUCCACAUUUUUGUGUUCCUGUAACAUGCUGCCAGACACUGCUGCCAAAACCAUCUCUCAAAUGCACUGCUCUGCCCACAUUACUUCCUUUUUCAAAUCCUUCAAAGCUAGUAUUUCUUUGCAUAUGAAAUUGAAAUUACUCAUAUAUAUUUUCAAAUAGCCAUUAUGUACACGUAAAUAUAAUCCAUCAACUCUUUCAUCUACCCUCUGCUGCAUAUUGCUCUUUGUUGCUUAAUAUGACUACAUACUUCAAAUAACCACGUUCAUAAUAAUUUUACUUAAACAUAAUAUUUAAAACCUUUUUGUUUUCUUUUUACUAAAGGAUUUAUUCAAGUUUUAUGUUUCCUGGAUAUUUACAUAAGGGCAGGAGGAAACGACUAACUUUUAUUGAAUGUCUAUUAUACACAGGGCACUGAACAAGUUGACAUAAGACAGACUAUCUCUUGUAAUUUAACUGAAAAUUAAGUAAUUCUAAGUUAAAGUGCAAAGAUUUAAGAGUGGUCUAAUUAAUUCUACCUUACACCAUUUUCUUCCUUUCUGAGCAGUAUUUGACUGUCAUUUUACUUCCUAUAUAUAUAUUUUUUCAUUUUUUGUUCCUGAUAUGUGGGCUAAGGAGUAGGGCAUUAGCUAUGUUUCUCUUAUUUAAUUUCCCAAAUUAAUCUACUAAGUUUUAUUACUGCUUGUUUUUUGUUUGUUUUUUAUAGCCAACCUCUGUAGAGAAUUAAUUUAGUUCUUGUUUCCUAGGUAGUUAGAUUUUUCUUACCAACUCUGACAGAAGGUUAUAAACUUGUUAUUUCAUUAAGUAAAGGAAAUUACUAUCAAUGAAAGAACAAAAAGUAAACUACCUACAAACAACAUCAUGGAGUUUCCAUCAUGGCUCAGUGGUUAACGAACCUAACUAGUAUCCAUGAGGACACAGGUUCGAUCCUUGGCCUUGCUCAGUGGGUUAAGGAUCUGGCAUUGCCAUGAGCUGUGGUGGAGGCCACAGACAUGGCUCAGAUUCCACAUUUCUGUGACUGUGGAAUAGGCCAGCAGCUAUAGCUCUGAUUUGACCCCUGACCUGGGAACCUCCAUAUGCUGUGGGUGCAGCC